rnacentral:rRNA from 1 species
UGAGGAAUAUUGGUCAAUGGGCGAGAGCCUGAACCAGCCAAGUCGCGUGAAGGAUGAAGGUUCUAUGGAUUGUAAACUUCUUUUAUUCGAGGGUAAAGUGAGGUACGUGUACCUUAUUGCAAGUAUCGAAUGAAUAAGCAUCGGCUAACUCCGUGCCAGCAGCCGCGGUAAUACGGAGGAUGCAAGCGUUAUCCGGAUUUAUUGGGUUUAAAGGGUGCGUAGGCGGAUGGGUAAGUCAGCGGUGAAAUGUCCCGGCUCAACCGGGGAACUGCCAUUGAUACUGCCUGUCUUGAAUGCGGAUGCCGUGGGAGGAAUGUGUAGUGUAGCGGUGAAAUGCAUAGAUAUUACACAGAACACCGAUUGCGAAGGCAUCUCACGAAUCCGUUAUUGACGCUGAGGCACGAAAGCGUGGGGAUC